GACAGAGGGUGCAAACGUUGCUCGGAAUCACUGGGCGUAAAGGGCGUGUAGGCGGGCAGAUAAGUCGGGCGUGAAAUCCCUGGGCUCAACCCAGGAACUGCACUCGAAACUGUUUUUCUUGAGUAUCGGAGAGGAAAGCGGAAUGCUUGGUGUAGAGGUGAAAUUCGUAGAUAUCAAGCGGAACACCGGUGGCGAAGGCGGCGACCUGGGCCAAUACUGACGCUGAGGUGCGAAAGCGUGGGGAGCAAACAGG
rnacentral:rRNA from 1 species